CGGCGUGCCUAACACAUGCAAGUCGAACGAGAAAGUUGGCUUCGGCCGAUGAGUAAAGUGGCGCACGGGUGAGUAACGCGUGGAUAAUCUGCCCUUAAGUUCGGAAUAACGUACCGAAAGGUGCGCUAAUACCGGAUAAUACUGAGUGACUACUGUUGCUUAGUCAAAGAAGGCUUCUGUUUACAUGCUUUUGCUGAAGGAUGAGUCCGCGUACCAUUAGCUAGUUGGUAGGGUAAUGGCCUACCAAGGCGACGAUGGUUAGCUGGUCUGAGAGGAUGAUCAGCCACACUGGAACUGAGACACGGUCCAGACUCCUACGGGAGGCAGCAGUGAGGAAUAUUGCGCAAUGGGGGCAACCCUGACGCAGCAACGCCGCGUGAGUGAGGAAGGUUUUCGGACCGUAAAGCUCUGUCGAGCGGGAAGAAAUGUGUCAUGGCUAAUAUCCAUGAUGCUUGACGGUACCGCUAAAGGAAGCACCGGCUAACUCCGUG
rnacentral:rRNA from 1 species